GCCGGUUUUUCCCAACAACUGGUAUCAGAGCUCUUGGUUUGAUUCAGGAGGAGGAAGUUCCGCUGUGAAGUUUAGGCUAGAGAAAAUUGAUGUUUGGCUUAUAGAAAAUCACGUCAAGGAUGUGUUGAUGCAAUCAGGGUUACACAAGGUCAGCUUGGAGAGGCGGUGGUAAUAAUACUCGACAUCAGUCUGGAGAGGCGGUGCUAAGAAUACUCGGGUUACGUCUGAAACAACAACUUAUUAUGAGGAUGCGAAGGUGCUAGUGGAAGUUGAGAAUCAGUGGAGUGUGAGUCAUG
rnacentral:lncRNA from 1 species